GGGGGGUUUCCCGAGCGGCCAAAGGGGUCAGACUGUAAAUCUGAUGGCGAAGCCUUCGCAGGUUCGAAUCCUGCACCCCCCA
rnacentral:tRNA from 1 species